rnacentral:lncRNA from 10 species
CAGAGAGAUAAAUGGAGAUGAAUUAGAGUCAUGUCAGAAGUACAUAGUGGAGGCCGGGUGCAGUGACUCCCGCCCGUAAUCCCAGCACUUUGGGAGGCCGAGGCAAGAGGAUGGCUUGAGCCCAGGAGUUUGACGCCAGCCUGGGAAACAUAAUAAGACUCUGUCUCUACAAAAAAUUUAAAAAAUUAAAACUUUAAAAAGUACAGAGUCCAGGAGAGGCCAAGAGUCAGACAGACAGAUG